rfam:Oryza brachyantha chromosome 12, whole genome shotgun sequence.
AAUAACCUCAUUUUUCGUUUUUCUAUGUCCAACGUUUGAACCAUUCGUCUUAUUUAAAAAAAUUUUACGAUCAAUAUUUUUAUUGUUACUAGAUGAUAAAAUAUAAACAGUACUUUAUACGUGACUAAUUUUUUUAAGUUUUUAUACAAAUUUUUCAAAUAAGACGAAUGGUCAAACGUUGGACACGGAAAA